UACUGAGUGGCAAACGGGUGAGUAUAAUGUGGGAAUCUGCCUUUUGGUUUGGAAUAACACGGGGAAACUUGUGCUAAUACCGAAUAAGCCCUUACGGGGAAAGUUUUAACGCCGAAAGAUGAGCCCGCACUUGAUUAGCUAGUUGGUAAGGUAAAAGCUUACCAAGGCAAUGAUCAAUAGCUGUUCUUAGAGGAAGACCAGCCACAUUGGGACUGAGACACGGCCCAGACUCCUACGGGAGGCAGCAGUGGGGAAUCUUGCACAAUGGGGGAAACCCUGAUGCAGCGAUGCCGCGUGAGUGAAGAAGGCCUUUGGGUUGUAAAACUCUUUCGUCGGGGAAGAAAAUGACUGUACCCGAAUAAGAAGGUCCGGCUAACUUCGUGCCAGCAGCCGCGGUAAUACGAAGGGACCUAGCGUAGUUCGGAAUUACUGGGCUUAAAGAGCUCGUAGGUGGUUAAAAAAGUUGAUGGUGAAAUCCCAAGGCUCAACCUUGGAACUGCCAUCAAAACUUUUUAGCUAGAGUGUGAUAGAGGUAAGUGGAAUUUCUAGUGUAGAGGUGAAAUUCGUAGAUAUUAGAAAGAACACCAAAUGCGAAGGCAACUUACUGGGUCACUACUGACACUGAGGAGCGAAAGCAUGGGUAGCGAAGAGGAUUAGAUACCCUCGUAGUCCAUGCCGUAAACGAUGUGUGCUAGACGUUGGAAAUAUAUUUUUCAGUGUCGCAGCGGAAAGCAUUAAGCACACCGCCUGGGGAGUACGACCGCCAGGUUAAAACUCAAAUGAAUUGACGGG
rnacentral:rRNA from 1 species